rnacentral:rRNA from 1 species
UACGUAGGGUGCGAGCGUUAAUCGGAAUUACUGGGCGUAAAGCGUGCGCAGGCUGUUCUGUAAGUCAGAUGUGAAAUCCCCGAGCUCAACUUGGGAACUGCGUUUGAAACUACAGGACUAGAAUAUGUCAGAGGGGGGUAGAAUUCCACGUGUAGCAGUGAAAUGCGUAGAGAUGUGGAGGAAUACCAAUGGCGAAGGCAGCCCCCUGGGAUAAUAUCGACGCUCAUGCACGAAAGCGUGGGGAGCAAACAGG